CCUACGGGUGGCAGCAGUGGGGAAUAUUGCACAAUGGGGGGAACCCUGAUGCAGCGACGCCGCGUGAGUGAAGAAGUAUUUCGGUAUGUAAAGCUCUAUCAGCAGGGAAGAAAAUGACGGUACCUGACUAAGAAGCCCCGGCAAACUACGUGCCAGCAGCCGCGGUAAUACGGAGGGGGCAAGCGUUAUCCGGAUUUACUGGGUGUUAAGGGAGCGUAGGCGGUUAUGCAAGUCUGAAGUGAAAGGCCAAGGCUCAACCAUGGGACUGCUUUGGAAACUGUAGAACUGGAGUGCAGGAGAGGUAAGCGGAAUGCCUAGUGUAGCGGUGAAAUGCGUAGAUAUUAGGAAGAACACCAGUGGCGAAGGCGGCGUACUGGACUGAAACUGACGUUGAGGCACGAAGGCGUGGGGAGCGAACAGGAUUAGAUACCCCAGUAGUC
rnacentral:rRNA from 1 species